rnacentral:rRNA from 1 species
CACGUAGGGUGCGAGCGUUGUCCGGAAUUAUUGGGCGUAAAGAGCUCGUAGGCGGUGUGUCGCGUCGGCCGUGAAAACCUGCAGCUUAACUGUGGGCUUGCGGUCGAUACGGGCAUCACUGGAGUGCGGCAGAGGGGGAUGGAAUUCCGCGUGUAGCAGUGAAAUGCGCAGAUAUCAGGAGGAACACCGGUGGCGAAGGCGGUUCUCUGGGCAUGAUCUGACGCUGAGGAGCGAAAGUGUGGGGAGCGAACAGG